rnacentral:sRNA from 1 species
UGAUACCAGGGUCCCAAGGUCAUACUUUUUCAUGCAAGCAUGAAAAAGUAUGACCUUGGGACCCGCAAAACAUGAGAAAGUAGCCCGAGUAGGGCGGAUUUCGAAUGUUUUUAGGAUUGCUUCGCCUGUUGUUUCUUGUGGUUUCU